UACGGAGGGUGCGAGCGUUAAUCGGAAUUACUGGGCGUAAAGCGCGCGUAGGUGGCUUGAUAAGCCGGUUGUGAAAGCCCCGGGCUCAACCUGGGAACGGCAUCCGGAACUGUCAGGCUAGAGUCCGGAAGAGGUAAGUGGAACUCCUAGUGUAGAGGUGGAAUUCGUAGAUAUUAGGAAGAACACCAGUGGCGAAGGCGGCUUACUGGUCCGGAACUGACGCUGAGGAGCGAAAGCAUGGGGAGCGAACAGG
rnacentral:misc_RNA from 1 species